CCUACGGGUGGCAGCAGUGGGGAAUAUUGGGCAAUGGAGGCAACUCUGACCCAGCAACGCCGCGUGAAUGAUGAAGGUCUUCGGAUUGUAAAGUUCUGUGAUGGGGGAUGAACACAAUGACGGUACCCCAAUAGCAAGCUACGGCUAACUACGUGCCAGCAGCCGCGGUAAUACGGAGGUGGCAAGCGUUAUCCGGAAGGACUGGGCGCAAGGGGUGCGUAGGUGGUUUGGUAAGUUGGCGGUGUAAUUCCGGGGCUCAACCUGGGCGCUACCGCCAAAACUAUUAGACUGGAGUGCAGGGGGGGUAAGUGGAAUGCGUGGUGUAGCGGUGGAAUGCGUAGAUAUUA
rnacentral:rRNA from 1 species